ACAACAAGGCACCGGGGACAAAUCCGCCGCAAGGGGAAAGUCCUGCAAAGGACUACUCGGCCGCCUGACC
rfam:Candidatus Thrbacteria bacterium RIFCSPLOWO2_02_FTLL_54_37 rifcsplowo2_02_scaffold_42056, whole genome shotgun sequence.